GAAAGUACACUAUUAGUGAAAUUGUAGUGUUUUAUAAAUAGAGUAGAUCUAGUAUUUUCAGGGGAAAAGUGAGUGCAUUUAAGAAGUUAUAAAUGUAUUGAGAGAAAUGUGACUUGAUUUUUACUUAGGAACCUACUGGCAGCACCAGCAAUGCAGAGGAGAGCUUUGAUGAAGCAGGUACACCAGCAAUGCAGAGGAGAGCUUUGAUGAAGCAGGCACACCAGCAGUGUUAUUCAGACACAGCAGACUCUGCUUGAACAGGAGAAUCCAGACAGACGAUGGUGAAUCUCGUUGCGAAACAGCAACAGUAAGAAAUACAUCUGUAUGGAAUGAAGAAAGCUCCAUAGAGCAGGUUAUUAAAGAUUGCCAGGUUGCAGCUGUAAAUAAGGAUGUAAGGAGUAAUGUAAUAGUUUCUCGGAGC
rnacentral:lncRNA from 1 species